CACUGAAGGGCUGUCAUUUCCCGGACACUAUCCGAGGCUUGAUACUGACCACCGUUCUAACUUUUAGGAGCGAUUACAACAACUCCAGGAUGGAAGUGGCCCUGCUAUCGUAUGCAAAUACGUCCGCUGACGUAGUUGAUCAUGUGGUUUUUGGCGUAGAUCCCCCUGCGAACGCGGAUUUUUUUCGGCUGUUGUCUGGCGGAUUCGGUCGAAUCUGUAGAAUAAAUCGUCGUAUUCGGUUGUUAUCGUGUUGAAAGACCCGUUUUGGACCCCGUUUACCGGUGCUCGGCAUCACAGCGCAUCAUACGUGGUGGACAGAUUGGGUGAUCUGGGAUGAAGUCUCAUGAAUUCCCUCAUUGGAGCUGACAUUAACAGUCAGCUGGAACAACAAGUGCAUAUUCUUCACAAGACAAACAUCCCCUACAACGUCCGUCUAACAGUCCCAGGUGACCUACGCACGCCAUGGCCAGCCGAAGGAAGACCACGACCCCUUGUAGAGCUGAUGCUGUUUUUAGAGGUGAUGACAUGAUGGGGCAAGAGGAUCCAGGUGAGAUGGAGGUGGAGGUAUCGGCGAAUGACAAAAGCACAGUGGUGAAUGGAUCCACAGAGAUGCUUCCUGGGGAGGACUGGAGCUCUGGGACAGAGCCUAGUGGUUCACGUCAGGAGUCGCCGGCCCCUGAGAAACCUAAUGCUGUGGAUUCAAGGCCUCAGAGGAAGCAGCAGGGAGGCUAUGAAUGCAAGUACUGUCCGUUCUCUACGCAGAACCUGAAUGAGUUCAAGGAACACGUGGACUCCAAUCACCCCAAUGUCAUUCUCAACCCGCUCUACCUGUGUGCUGUGUGCAACUUCAACACAAAGAAGUUUGACACCUUGACAGAGCACAAUGAGAGGUGUCAUCCAGGGGAGAGCAACUUUAAGUUCAAGAGAAUCAAACUGAACAAUCAGACCAUCCUAGAGCAGUCGAUAGAAGGAGCAAGCAACGCUGUCGUCUGUGAUUCAACCAACGGCAUUCUGACUGGAGAAGACUUUGCCACUUUCCCCCUGAGCAAAUCCACCACAGUGAAGAUUAGUAAGCCAAAAACGGACAACAAACGGUUAUUCACAGAAAGUCAACCGGACAGACUCAACCCCGAGCUCCCCAGAAAGCAGAUCGCCGCCGUGAAUGUGAACGGGACCGUGAUCAUCCCAGAAGCGACCCUAAAAGAUAGCAUCUCUCAUAUCAUGCCUUCUCUUCAGCGCCCGCCUAACUACAACUUAGUACCAAAAAUCGCUGUCCCUUUGAACACCUCUAAGUACAACCCUUCACUGGACAGUAACCUGACACUCAUCACAUCCUUCACCAAGUUCCCGUACCCGACCCAAGCGGAGCUGUCCUGGCUUACCGCUGCCUCGAAGCACCCCGAGGAACAGAUCAAGGUGUGGUUCACCCUCCAGAGGCUGAAGCAAGGCAUCAGCUGGUCCCCUGAAGAGGUGGAAGAAGCUCGGAAGAAGAUGUUCAACGGUACCAUCCAGUCAGUCCCACAGACCACCUUCACCGUGCUGAGCGGUGCCCAGAUGGCUCAGUCCACCAAAGGACAACAGUCCCUAGUUCAAUCCGUCCCCUUCAACCUCCUGGGACAGACCAGUUAUGUGUUGACGCCCGUUGCAAACGGCUCAGCUGUCAGUUGUUCUCCCAUCACACUAACCAUGGCAAACCAGGUCGUGCAGUCAGUAAAGCGACCCUUGGCAGCUCCAGUAGUGGCCGCUUCAGAGAUCAAACGUCCCUCCAUAAUCCAGACGAUUCAGGCACCUAGACUGGUGGCUUCGCCUAAACCCAGCUUCACUUCAGACUCCGAUAAAACCCCGGACCAGAUUGCUGUACUGAAAGCUAGUUACACCCAGUGCCAGUUCCCUGAAGAGGAGGAAGUGUACCGUCUCAUUGAGUCCACCGGCCUCUCUAGAGGAGAAAUCAAGAAGUGGUUCAGCGAGCAACGACUCCUCAAUCACAAGGUGGCGCCACAGGUGAUCAAGAUUGAGCCCCAGGCAUCGAAAGACAGUCAGCCCAAAAAGGCUGUCCCCACCCAGUUUCCUCUCCUGGAGAGGCUCAAAGGCAAAUCCUCUGAGCAGCUCAAGAUGCUAGAGGAGAGUUUUCAGAGGACCAGCUCCCCCACUGAAAUUGACGUUGACAACCUCGUUGUGGACACAAGGCUCUCCAAGACUGAGAUCGACUGCUGGUUCUCAGAGCGCAGAGCGUUGCGGGACAACUUGGAGCAAGCCCUGGCAAACUCCAUGGGUCCUAAGAGCCUUGAGGAGCAACGAGGGAUACUAAAUAGUGUUUACGAACAGGACAGCAAAGUCCGGUGCUCACCUCUUCCCAUUGUCACCACUUCCACCAGUCCUGAGCCAAUCGAUAGGAAAUCCCUAGGGCUUCUCAAAGAGGUGUUCACCCAGACCCAGUGGCCGUCGCCAGAGGAGUACAGCCAGCUGGAGGGACAGACUGGUUUGUCUCGUACAGAGAUUGUCCGCUGGUUCAAGGAAAACCGAUCCGCCCUGAAGAAUGGAACCUUGGACUGGAUGGAACAGUUCCAGAAAGUCAACGGCAAAGCAGAACAGAAUGGUCAGAGCUCGUCAGGGAUUACAGAACGACCCCCAAGCAGCAUUCUCCAGCAGCACUUCACAGAAGCCAAGACGACACUGCUUUCAGCAGAAGACGCGAAAAGCUUCCAUUGCAGUCGAAACUCAUCAACCAGGACAUAGUCCAGUGGUUUACCAGUAAACUGGGCCAGAGUAUGACAGACAUCAGCAGGGGCAGGGACCAACAUGGACAGGCCAACGUGGACAGAAGCAGGUGGGUGAAGGUGACCAUGGCUGUAGGGGACGAGACUAAAGGUGCUUUGGAGAACCAGAAGAUCGGAUCAGAAGCAGAGGUGCUGAUGGGAGACCAACCUGGUCGGGUGACUGGAUGAAAAGAGCAUGAGGAUACUGAGUUUCUCAAGCAGAAGAUUCUCAAGAUUGUUGAAUCUGGAACCAAUGAUUUCCUACCUGGCCUGUGACAUCAGCACAGUGGACAGUAGAGUCCACUCCAAACACUGACUGGCCAGACCAUUGAGUGCCAAAGCUGGACUUGAUGCAUUAUUAUUAUUACACUUAAUAAAAAAGGGCCCUUGUAAAUAUUUUUCUGUAUUGCAAAAGCUUUGUAAACAUUUUCGGGGUUGCUGGUUUUUACAUUUCUAACAUGAGUCAAUAACCCCUAAAAGAGGAAUGUUUGGGUUUUUAUGACGGUAAUUAUAAGCCAAUUCAUCAGGGUUUUUUUUAACAAAACGUUUAGUGACUGACAGCUGGUCAUAGAUGGCACUUAUUUCAAGUGGAUAGACAAGUAACACUUCUGAUCUGAUAACCAGUGAGUUCAUCCAUUGGACUAAAGGGUUUAUAGUGGUUCUCUAGCAGACCAUAGAAUCACCUAGCCUGGGUACCAGAUGUUUGGCAUAUGACAAGGAGUGGAAUGAUGGCACAAACAGGUCUCCUACCCAGGCUAAGAAUCCCAUACUUACAUUACAAUAACAGUUGUCCCCCCUCUCUCAUGCUGAAUGCUACCGCUGCUGAGACGACAGUCAGCCACAGAAUGGACAUGAAUAAAACAAGAAAAUGCACUGUACAUGUUUUUUGUAGUUCAGUCUCAUUUUGAAUUGCAGCGUCCGUAACUGGUCUUUUCUCGUGUUGGCUUUCUAGAUAUCCAUAGAUAUCCUAGGUGUUAGGCUCAAUUUCAAUGGCUCGCUCCUUGAGUUUCAUGCCUCCUAUUAGUGAAUCAUGUUCAUACAUGUAUCUGGAAUACUGUACUGCUACCAAGAAUCUCUUUGCUUGAUUUUUUUUUUUGAAAUCCGUCUGCUGUAACUCAAUAAAACACAACCAACUGAA